rnacentral:rRNA from 1 species
UGAGGAAUAUUGGUCAAUGGACGAGAGUCUGAACCAGCCAAGUAGCGUGAAGGAUGACUGCCCUAUGGGUUGUAAACUUCUUUUAUACGGGAAUAAAGUGAGGCACGUGUGCCUUUUUGUAUGUACCGUAUGAAUAAGGAUCGGCUAACUCCGUGCCAGCAGCCGCGGUAAUACGGAGGAUGCGAGCGUUAUCCGGAUUUAUUGGGUUUAAAGGGUGCGUAGGCGGACUGGUAAGUCAGCGGUAAAAAUGCGGUGCUCAACGCCGUAGUGCCGUUGAAACUGCCGGUCUUGAGUGAGCGAGAAGUAUGCGGAAUGCGUGGUGUAGCGGUGAAAUGCAUAGAUAUCACGAAGAACUCCUAUUGCGAAGGUAGCUCACUAAACUGCAACUGACAUUGAGGCUCGAAAGUGUGGGGUAUCAAACAGGAUUAGAUACC